GUGCCAGCCGCCGCGGUAAUACGGAGGGGGUUAGCGUUGUUCGGAAUUACUGGGCGUAAAGCGCGCGUAGGCGGACUAUUAAGUCAGGGGUGAAAUCCCGGGGCUCAACCCCGGAACUGCCUUUGAUACUGGUAGUUUAGAGUUCGAGAGAGGUGAGUGGAACUCCGAGUGUAGAGGUGAAAUUCGUAGAUAUUCGGAAGAACACCAGUGGCGAAGGCGGCUCACUGGCUCGAUACUGACGCUGAGGUGCGAAAGUGUGGGGAGCAAACAGGAUUAGAUACCCCAGUAGUCC
rnacentral:rRNA from 1 species